UACGUAGGGUGCGAGCGUUAAUCGGAAUUACUGGGCGUAAAGCGUGCGCAGGCGGUUCGUUAAGACAGAUGUGAAAUCCCCGGGCUUAACCUGGGAACUGCAUUUGUGACUGGCGAGCUAGAGUAUGGCAGAGGGGGGUAGAAUUCCACGUGUAGCAGUGAAAUGCGUAGAGAUGUGGAGGAAUACCGAUGGCGAAGGCAGCCCCCUGGGCCAAUACUGACGCUCAUGCACGAAAUCGUAGGGAGCAAACAGG
rnacentral:rRNA from 1 species